AAGCUAAAUUAGAGAUUGGCUCUCGUUACCUAAUAUAUCAAUCAUCUGGAGUUAUUAUGUCUCUAAGUACUGAAGCGAAAGCAAAAAUUGUUGCAGAAUUUGGCCGUGGCGA
rnacentral:ncRNA from 1 species